UGCAGUCGAACGGUAGCAGGAAGUGCUUGCACUUCGCUGACGAGUGGCGGACGGGUGAGUAAUGCUUGGGAACUUGCCUUUAGGUGGGGGAUAACAGUUGGAAACGACUGCUAAUACCGCAUAAUGUCUACGGACCAAAGGGGGCUUCGGCUCCCGCCUUGAGAGAGGCCCAAGUGAGAUUAGCUAGUUGGUGGGGUAAAGGCCUACCAAGGCAACGAUCUCUAGCUGUUCUGAGAGGAAGAUCAGCCACACUGGGACUGAGACACGGCCCAGACUCCUACGGGAGGCAGCAGUGGGGAAUAUUGCACAAUGGGGGAAACCCUGAUGCAGCCAUGCCGCGUGUGUGAAGAAGGCCUUCGGGUUGUAAAGCACUUUCAGUUGUGAGGAAAGGUUGGUAGUUAAUACCUGCCAGCUGUGACGUUAACAACAGAAGAAGCACCGGCUAACUCCGUGCCAGCAGCCGCGGUAAUACGGAGGGUGCGAGCGUUAAUCGGAAUUACUGGGCGUAAAGCGCACGCAGGCGGCUUGUUAAGCUAGAGGUGAAAGCCCCGCGCUCAACGUGGGAACUGCCUUUAGAACUGGCAGGCUAGAGUCUUGGAGAGGGGAGUGGAAUUCCAGGUGUAGCGGUGAAAUGCGUAGAUAUCUGGAGGAACAUCAGUGGCGAAGGCGGCUCCCUGGCCAAAGACUGACGCUCAUGUGCGAAAGUGUGGGUAGCGAACAGGAUUAGAUACCCU
rnacentral:rRNA from 1 species